UCAUGGUGUUUGCAGGUAUCCAUGUGUAAAUGAGAGCAAGGGAGCACACCUGCUGUCCAUUUAUCUUUGCACAGAACAUGCCAUGGAGAAUAGGAGAGAAAGCCUGAAGUUAUGAAGGAGCCACUUUUAAAAUCAUCUGUGUCCACAAAGGCAAGCAGCAAUGUAAAGAGAUGCCCAAAUCUCACGCAUUCAAUUGUGGAAUAAAUAACACACAGUUUUCCUCGAUGGUAAUUCUGCUAUGAGGACGGACCACAGGGUUUCCCAAGCAUACCACUCUUCCCCACAAAGACUCUGAACCAAAUUGUGGAUUUCCCUUGGACACCACCCCACACCCCACACUUUGUCAUUUGCCUUGAGGUCAGCCUAUGUGAAGGAAAGAUCCGAGUGCUCAUCUGGUCUUACAUCUGAGGCUCUGGGUUCUGAACCUGAAUCUCCAGGUGGUGAUAUUGGUGGAAAGUAGGUCAGAGUUGGAAUCCCCUAGCUCCAUCCAUCAUCAUUUUUGGAAGUCCAGUCAUCAAUACCAAGGGUAACCUG